UACGAAGGGGGCUAGCGUUGUUCGGAAUUACUGGGCGUAAAGCGCACGUAGGCGGAUUUGUAAGUCAGGGGUGAAAUCCCGGGGGCUCAACCUCGGAACUGCCUUUGAUACUGCAAGUCUCGAGUCCAUAGGAGGUGAGUGGAACUGCGAGUGUAGAGGUGAAAUUCGUAGAUAUUCGCAAGAACACCAGUGGCGAAGGGCGGCUCACUGGCCCGAUACUGACGCUGAGGCACGAAAGCGUGGG
rnacentral:rRNA from 1 species